rnacentral:rRNA from 1 species
UGUUGUUUUGUCUUUUUUUUUAUUUUUGUUUUUAUGUUAUUUUUGUAAAAUGUUUUAGUUUUUAUAUUUUUUAAAAAGACAUUUAAAAUUUGUUUUUUGAACUGGAUUAGUACCCAGGUAAUCAAAAUUAAUUAAUUCGGGAGUAAAGUUUUGUUUAAACCGAAAAAAUAUUGACUGACCUUGGAUUUUUCUUUGGAAUAUGCGUAUGGAGAGCCCUCUUUUUUGGUGAGUCUUAUCGGCACAUGUAUGAUUGUUUAGUUUUUAUUUUAUUUGUAAUGCUUUUUAUGUUUUGUCAUUUAAAACAGAUAUAUAUUUGGCUUAUGGACUUAUAAUCGUGUGUUACUAUUAUUAAUUUUUUUUGGAUUAUUUUUUUAUUUUUUUUUGAAAUUGGAAAAGAAAGUAAUUUUUUUUUUAU